GACGAACGCUGGCGGCGUGCUUAACACAUGCAAGUCGAGCGGUAAGGCCCUUUCGGGGGUACACGAGCGGCGAACGGGUGAGUAACACGUGGGUGACCUGCCCUCAGCUCUGGGAUAAGCCUGGGAAACUGGGUCUAAUACUGGAUAUGACUCCACGGUGCAUGUCGUGGGGUGGAAAGCCUUGUGCGGCUGAGGAUGGGCCCGCGGCCUAUCAGCUUGUUGGUGGGGUGAUGGCCUACCAAGGCGAUGACGGGUAGCCGGCCUGAGAGGGCGACCGGCCACACUGGGACUGAGACACGGCCCAGACUCCUACGGGAGGCAGCAGUGGGGAAUCUUGCGCAAUGGGCGAAAGCCUGACGCAGCGACGCCGCGUGA
rnacentral:rRNA from 1 species